AGUGAACGCUGGCGGUAGGCCUAACACAUGCAAGUCGAACGGCAGCACAGUAAGAGCUUGCUCUUGCGGGUGGCGAGUGGCGGACGGGUGAGGAAUACAUCGGAAUCUACUUUUUCGUGGGGGAUAACGUAGGGAAACUUACGCUAAUACCGCAUACGACCUACGGGUGAAAGCAGGGGAUCUUCGGACCUUGCGCGAUUGAAUGAGCCGAUGUCGGAUUAGCUAGUUGGCGGGGUAAAGGCCCACCAAGGCGACGCUCCGUAGCUGGUCUGAGAGGAUGAUCAGCCACAAUGGAACUGAGACACGGUCCAGACUCCUACGGGAGGCAGCAGUGGGGAAUAUUGGACAAUGGGCGCAAGCCUGAUCCAGCCAUACCGCGUGGGUGAAGAAGGCCUUCGGGUUGUAAAGCCCUUUUGUUGGGAAAGAAAAGCAGCAGGUUAAUACCCCGCUGUUCUGACGGUACCCAAAGAAUAAGCACCGGCUAACUUCGUG
rnacentral:rRNA from 1 species